rnacentral:rRNA from 1 species
CCUACGGGGGGCAGCAGUGAGGAAUAUUGGUCAAUGGACGAGAGUCUGAACCAGCCAAGUAGCGUGAAGGAUGACGGCCCUAUGGGUUGUAAACUUCUUUUAUAAAGGAAUAAAACGAGGCACGUGUGCCUGUUUGCAUGUACUUUAUGAAUAAGGAUCGGCUAACUCCGUGCCAGCAGCCGCGGUAAUACGGAGGAUCCGAGCGUUAUCCGGAUUUAUUGGGUUUAAAGGGAGCGUAGAUGGGUUGUUAAGUCAGUUGUGAAAGUUUGCGGCUCAACCGUAAAAUUGCAAUUGAUACUGGCAGUCUUGAGUACAGUUGAGGUAGGCGGAAUUCGUGGUGUAGCGGUGAAAUGCUUAGAUAUCACGAAGAACCCCGAGUGCGAAGGCAGCUUACUAAACUGUGACUGACAUUGAUGCUCGAAAGUGUGGGUAUCAAACAGGAUUAGAUACCCGUGUAGUC